GAUGAACGCUGGCGGCGUGCCUAAUACAUGCAAGUCGAGCGAACAGAUCAGGAGUUUUCUCCUCUGACGUUAUCGGCGGACGGGUGAGUAACACGUGGAUAACCUACCUAUAAGACUGGGAUACCUUCGGGAAACCGGCGCUAAUACCGGAUAAUAUAUUGAACUUCAUGGUUCACUCGUGAAAGACGGUUUUGCUGUCACUUAUAGAUGGAUCCGCACCGCAUUAGCUAGUUGGUAAGGUAACGGCUUACCAAGGCAGGGAUGCGUAGCCGACCUGAGAGGGACAUUGAGCACACUGUAAGUGAGACACGUCAGAGACACCUACAGUGGGAAGCAGUAGGGAAUCUUACGCAAUGCAGGAGUGGUUGACGGAGCACAGCCGGGGGAGUGAUGACGGUCUUCUGCUCGUAAAACUCUGUUAUUAUGAAGGAACAAAUAUGCUAGUACCUGUGAACGUCUUGACGGUACCUGGUCAGAAAGCCACGGCUAACUACGUG
rnacentral:rRNA from 1 species